CCAUGAUGAGGAGCUUGGAGUGGGCAAGGGGGAGGCUGAUAACGCAGCAGAGAAGACCUGAUUCAUCAAGUAUUCUCACUUGGUUGGCAUGCACAACACAGCAAGACACUUCAAUCCGACACUCUUGUUAAUGUUUGACGUCAGGCAAAACGUACUCAGCCACCGUA